UAGUCAAGUUGACAACCAGGAAUAGCCACUU
rnacentral:piRNA from 1 species